UAUUCCGGUUGAUCCUGCCGGACCCGACUGCUAUUUGGGUGAGGAUAAGCCAUGCGAGUUGGAUGGGAUACCUAAACUUCCCAUAGCAAACUGCUUAGUAACACAUGAUCAACUUGCCCUAUGGAGAAAAAUAACCUCGGGAAACUGAGGAUAAUGUUUCAUAGUUGAAUAGGCUUGGAAAAGUUUUUCAAUGAAAGGAAUAAGAUAAAUGGAUCUUAUUUGCCAUAGGAUAGGAUCGUGGUCGAUUAUGGUAGUUGGUGAGAUAACGGCUCACCAAGCCGAUAAUCGAUAGGGGCCGUGAGAGCGGGAGCCCCAAGAUGGGUACUGAGACAGCGACCCAGGCCUUACGAGGCGCAGCAGGCGCGAGACCUCCGCAAUACACGAAAGUGUGACGGGGUUACCCAAAGUGUUCUCUUAAGAACUGUGGCAGGUGAGUAAUGUCCCCUGCUAGAGAGGAGAGGGCAAGGCUGGUGCCAGCCGCCGCGGUAAAACCAGCUCUUCAAGUGGUCGGGAUAAUUAUUGGGCUUAAAGUGUCCGUAGCCGGUUUAGUAAGUUCCUGGUAAAAUCGGGUAGCUUAACUAUCUGCAUGCUAGGAAUACUGCUAUACUAGAGGGCGGGAGAGGUCUGAGGUACUACAGGGGUAGGGGUGAAAUCUUAUAAUCCUUGUAGGACCACCAGUGGCGAAGGCGUCAGACUGGAACGCGCCUGACGGUGAGGGACGAAAGCCAGGGGAGCGAACCGGAUUAGAUACCCGGGUAGUCCUGGCCGUAAACGAUGCAUACUAGGUGAUGGUACGGCCAUGAGCCGUAUCAGUGCCGUAGGGAAACCGUUAAGUGUGCCGCCUGGGAAGUACGGUCGCAAGGCCAAAACUUAAAGGAAUUGGCGGGGGAGCACCACAAGGGGUGAAGCCUGCGGUUCAAUUGGACCCAACGCCGGGAAACUUACCAGGGGAGACAGUAGAAUGACGGUCAGGUUGACGACCUUACCUGAUGAGCUGAGAGGAGGUGCAUGGCCGUCGCCAGUUCGUGCCGUGAGGUAUCCUGUUAAGUCAGGCAACGAACGAGAUCCGCGCCUUUAUUUGCCAACAAGAAGUUACGACUUCGUUGGGAACACUAAAGGGACCGCCGUCGAUAAGACGGAGGAAGGAGCGGGCAAAGGCAGGUCAGUAUGCCCCGAAACCCCUGGGCUACACGCGGGCUGCAAUGGUAUGAACAAUGGGCUGUAACUCCGAAAGGAGAAACCAAUCCCGAAAUCAUAUCACAGUGGGGAUUGUUGGCCGUAACCCGCCGACAUGAACGUGGAAUCCCUAGUAAUCGUGUGUCAUCAUCGCACGGUGAAUACGUCUCUGCUCCUUACACACACCGCCCGUCGCUCCAUCCGAGUGUACUAAAAAUGAGGUUUGGUCAGACUGGUCAUAUCGAGUUUCUAGUAUGCGA
rnacentral:rRNA from 1 species